CUACGUUAAGCRCACUAUACUGUGAAACUGCGAAUGGCUCAUUAAAUCAGUUAUCGUUUAUUUGAUAGUACCCUACUACUUGGAUAACCGUGGUAAUUCUAGAGCUAAUACAUGCGAAAAACCCCGACUUCGGAAGGGGUGUAUUUAUUAGAUAAAAAGCCAACGCCCUUCGGGGCUCCGUGGUGAUUCAUGAUAACUUCACGAACCGCAUGGCCUUGCGCCGGCGGUGGUUCAUUCAAAUUUCUGCCCUAUCAACUUUCGAUUGUUGGGUAUUGGCCAACAAUGGUUACGACGGGUAACGGGGAAUUAGGGUUCGAUUCCGGAGAGGGAGCCUGAGAAACGGCUACCACAUCCAAGGAAGGCAGCAGGCGCGCAAAUUACCCAAUCCCGACGCGGGAGGUAGUGACAAUAAAUACUGAUACAGGGCUCUUUUGGGUCUUGUAAUUGGAAUGAGUACAAUUUAAAUACCUUAACGAGGAACAAUUGGAGGGCAAGUCUGGUGCCAGCAGCCGCGGUAAUUCCAGCUCCAAUAGCGUAUAUUAAAGUUGUUGCAGUUAAAAAGCUCGUAGUUGAACCUUGGCCCUGGCUAGCCGGUCCGCCUCACCGCGUGUACUGGUCCGGCCGGGGCUUUCCUCCUGGGGAUCCGCAUGGCCUUCGCUGGUCGUGCUGGGGAACCAGGACUUUUACUUUGAAAAAAUUAGAGUGUUCAAAGCAGGCAUCCGCUCGAAUACAUUAGCAUGGAAUAAUGGAAUAGGACGUGUGGUUCAUUUCGUUGGU
rnacentral:rRNA from 1 species